rnacentral:tRNA from 1 species
GGAGAGGUUCCGCAGCGGCCUAACGGGGCCGGCCUUCGGGCUCGGCAGGGCUCCAGUAGCCCACGCAGGUUCGAAUCCUGCCCUCUCCG